rnacentral:rRNA from 1 species
AGGGUUCGAUUCUGGCUCAGAGAACGCUGGCGGCAUGGAUUAGGCAUGCAAGUCGAACGAGGUAGCAAUACCGAGUGGCGGAAGGGUGAGGAACGCGUGAGCAAUCUGCCCUCCAGUUGGGAAUAACAGUUGGAAACGACUGCUAAUACCGAAUGUGGCUCGUUGGUCGCAUGACUGACGGGCUAAAGAUUUAUCGCUGGAGGAUGAGCUCGCGUCCCAUUAGCUAGUUGGUGAGGUAACGGCCCACCAAGGCGACGAUGGGUAGCUGGUCUGAGAGGAUGGUCAGCCACACUGGGACUGAGACACUGCCCAGACUCCUACGGGAGGCUGCAGUCGAGAAUCUUGGGCAAUGCGCGAAAGCGUGACCCAGCAAUGCCGCGUGCGGGAUGAAGGUCUUCGGAUUGUAAACCGCUGUCAACCGGGACGAACACAAUGACUGUACCGGUGAAGGAAGCCACGGCUAACUACGUGCCAGCCGCUGC